AGAGUUUUGGCCUCAGCCGUUUGACUCUAAUCAGGAAAUCAUUUUUAGAAAGAUUUGUCAGUGUAAGAAAACAAGCUCCUGAACUAAAUUAGGAUCUGGAUUAUUUUUCCCUCCUCUCUCGAUCUGCAGUGCAAGGCAGAGUGGUGAGCCAUCACGGUUUUGUGUGUGGUGAAUUUGUUUCCACUGCACAUUUUAAUUCGGAGCUCCUGAAGGUGUCUGUGUUUGUAAGGACUGUGUUUUUGGAGCUGCUCCCUCGGAGUAAUGAAUUCACGGCAUGUCUCUGGGAAAUUAAGGUUUCUUUUCUGGGAGCUGCUAUCACUGAAUACAUAAAGAAAUUGAGCCUAUAUGAUUUCAAUCUUCACCUUCUGAUGCUGAUGAAACAGGAUUCUAUGCAGAGAAAAUCCUCUCCAGUCAAGUAAUUGCAUCCAUUUCAUCUUCCCAGCCCUCCUCUAGAUGGGAGGUGGAGGUGUGUGUACCAAUCUCUUAAUUCAGAAAUGAGACAAGAGGAGGAAAAAGGAGUUCCGGAGACUUUGAGUAAAGCUGAUCACCUUACGUAAUGUGAGUGGGUCUCGUCCAAUCAACUGAAGGCUUUAAGAGCAAAGACAAAGGUUUUUCAAAGAGAAAAAGAAGACUCUCCUCAAGACUGUGACAUAGAAACUCUGCCUGAAUUUCUAGCCUGCUGCCCUGCAGAAUUUAGAGUCAAGCCUACAACAUAACUCUUACCUGAAUUCUCAGGCUGCUGACUUACCCUGCAGAUUUUGGACUUGCCAGCCCCUCACAAUCCCAUGAGCCAAUUCCUUAAAAUAAAUCUCUCUUUUUCCCUCUGUAUAUAUUUAUGUCCUAUUGAUUUUGGUUCUCUGGAGAGCCCUGACUACUACACUGAGUGAAGGGAGGGCUUUGCUAAGUGAUCAUGGUCCCAAGGGCAGCCUCUGAGAGCCCGCUCCUUUUGCAGGAUAUUUGAAGACCAGACCUUGAGUCAAAUUCUGCAGCCAAAUUCAAUGCCCAUAAGACUUUCUGCUCAGAAGACGUCAUGCAAAGGGAAUCCCCAGGGCUCUUUAAAUUAGAUCUUCUGUUUGUGCAGACACGUGAUAAAUGUUUUGGGUACAGCCUGGCUCACACCACAUUUUCCACUUUUUGGGUGGAGUCAGUUUUAAUUGACAAGAAGUGCCUUUACAGGUGGACUUUUUUUUUGGUGGUGGAGGGGAGUAGUUAAAACCGAUGCUUUGCAUUCUGUUGGGCAGCAGAAAGAUUGCUUUUUCAAUAAGCAAGCCUUGGGUUUUUCUGAGCCAGUGGUAUGAGAAAUGCCUCUCCUGAAGGCCACCACGCAAGCGAGUCCCCACAGAAGCAUGCCCGAGCUGUCAGGUGCAGGGAGAAAUAUCUUUAGUAAGAGCCGGUCAUGUAAUGAGACUUCCCCACCACAGCAUAGAUGGGCAGAGGGGUUUCCACAAGGACAAUUCUUAAGAAUCUCUGUAAAAACGCAUGACUCCAUCUGUCUCCUCUCUCUUCUUUGGCUUCAGAUGAGCUGAGCCAUUUAAAAAUUCCCCAACAAGGGACCCCAGGCACCAGAAGAAGUGAUGAACAGAUUUUCAAUUUGGCCCUGAUUUGCAUAAAUUUUUUUUUUCUGGCAG
rnacentral:lncRNA from 10 species